AUUCCGGUUGAUCCUGCCGGAGGCCAUUGCUAUUGGGAUCCGAUUUAGCCAUGCUAGUCGUACGAGUUCAUACUCGUGGCGAAUAGCUCAGUAACACGUGGCCAAACUACCCUUCGGAGCACAAUACCCUCGGGAAACUGAGGCUAAUAGUACAUACCAUACCACCACUGGAAUGUGUGGUAUGCCAAACGCUCCGGCGCCGAAGGAUGUGGCUGCGGCCGAUUAGGUAGACGGUGGGGUAACGGCCCACCGUGCCAAUAAUCGGUAUGGGUCAUGAGAGUGAGAACCCAGAGACGGAAUCUGAGACAAGAUUCCGGGCCCUACGGGGGCGCAGCAGGGGCGAAACCUUUACCACUGCACGACAGUGCGAUAGGGGGGAUCCCAAGUGCACAGGCAUAGCGCCUGUGCUUUUCGGUACCCUAAGGCGGUACCAGAAUAAGGGCUGGGCAAGACCGGUGCCAGCCGCCGCGGUAAUACCGGCAGCCCAAGUGAUGGCCGAUCUUAUUGGGCCUAAAGCGUCCGUAGCUGGCCGCACAAGUCCAUCGGAAAAUCCACCCGCUCAACGGGUGGGCGUCCGGUGGAAACUGUGUGGCUUGGGACCGGAAGGCGCGACGGGUACGUCCGGGGUAGGAGUGAAAUCCCGUAAUCCUGGACGGACCGCCGAUGGCGAAAGCACGUCGCGAGGACGGAUCCGACAGUGAGGGACGAAAAGGCCAGGUCUCGACGAUAGAAUACCCGGGUAGUCCCUGAUCGUAAAACAAUGGUCCCUUG
rnacentral:rRNA from 1 species